rnacentral:rRNA from 1 species
GACGAACGCUGGCGGCGUGCUUAACACAUGCAAGUCGAACGGAAAGGCCCUGCUUUUGUGGGGUGCUCGAGUGGCGAACGGGUGAGUAACACGUGAGUAACCUGCCCUUGACUUUGGGAUAACUUCAGGAAACUGGGGCUAAUACCGGAUAGGAGCUCCUGCUGCAUGGUGGGGUUUGGAAAGUUUCGGCGGUUGGGGAUGGACUCGGGGCUUAUCAGCUUGUUGGUGGGGUAGUGGCUUACCAAGGCUUUGACGGGUAGCCGGCCUGAGAGGGUGACCGGCCACAUUGGGACUGAGAUACGGCCCAGACUCCUACGGGAGGCAGCAGUGGGGAAUAUUGCACAAUGGGCGGAAGCCUGAUGCAGCAACGCCGCGUGCGGGAUGAAGGCCUUCGGGUUGUAAACCGCUUUCGCCUGUGACGAAGCGUGAGUGACGGUAAUGGGUAAAGAAGCACCGGCUAACUACGUG